UACGGGGGAUGCGAGCGUUAUCCGGAUUUAUUGGGUUUAAAGGGCGCGUAGGCGGGACGGCAAGUCAGCGGUAAAAGACUGCAGCUAAACUGUAGCACGCCGUUGAAACUGUUGACCUAGAGACGAGACGAGGGAGGCGGAACAAGUGAAGUAGCGGUGAAAUGCAUAGAUAUCACUUGGAACCCCGAUAGCGAAGGCAGCUUCCCAGGCUCGUUCUGACGCUGAUGCGCGAGAGCGUGGGUAGCGAACAGG
rnacentral:rRNA from 1 species